AGAAUCAACGCUGGCGGCGUGCCUAACACAUGCAAGUCGAACGAGAAAGUGGAGCAAUCCAUGAGUAAAGUGGCGCACGGGUGAGUAACACGUGACUAACCUACCCUUGAGUGGGGAAUAACCUCGGGAAACCGGGGCUAAUACCGCAUAACACCUACGGGUCAAAGGAGCAAUUCGCUUAAGGAGGGGGUCGCGGCAGAUUAGUUAGUUGGCGGGGUAAUGGCCCACCAAGACGGUGAUCUGUAUCCGGCCUGAGAGGGCGCACGGACACACUGGAACUGAAACACGGUCCAGACUCCUACGGGAGGCAGCAGUGGGGAAUUUUGCGCAAUGGGGGGAACCCUGACGCAGCAACGCCGCGUGGAGGAUGAAGUCCCUUGGGACGUAAACUCCUUUCGAUCGGGACGAUUAUGACGGUACCGGAAGAAGAAGCCCCGGCUAACUUCGCGCCAGCAGCCGC
rnacentral:rRNA from 1 species